AGCGCUCAAACUUCCAAAUCUGGUGAAAACGGGAAACUUUAAUUUCAAGACUGGGUUAAAAACAAAAGAGGUAAAGGGAUUGAACUCAAUGUUUCGUCAGAAAAAUUCAAGAAACAACUCUGCUGAAAAUUUUCUAAGGCGAAUAGAAGAGAAGGAUAAAGAUGAAUUCAGGGCGCUUCUUCUCAACAAAUCUAAACUUCGUAGAGUUCAGAGAAAGAAUAUAGAACCUGGUCUGAUUAGACAGCACCAAGAUGUAUGGAGAGAGGAAUGUAGAAUCCUACAGGAAAAAUCUCUAACCCUUUCAAGGUAUA